rnacentral:lncRNA from 1 species
GGAAGAUGGACGCAGCUACUCUGACCUACGACACUCUCCGGUUUGCUGAGUUUGAAGAUUUUCCUGAGACCUCAGAGCCCGUUUGGAUACUGGGUAGAAAAUACAGCAUUUUCACAGAAAAGGACGAGAUCUUGUCUGAUGUGGCAUCUAGACUUUGGUUUACAUACAGGAAAAACUUUCCAGCCAUUGCCAUUCAUCAUUGUUGUAUACCCUGGAGCUGGAAGGAGAUGGGGACUGGUUCUCAGCCUUGCCUCUCACCGGCGGAGAACUGAGGCCGGAGGAGGUUGUCGGGACAUUUCACUCUCCAGUAAAUGUGGCCCUUGGCGUUACUGAGUCCUAAGAGGGGGGACAGGCCC